rnacentral:lncRNA from 1 species
UUUGAAUCUUAUAAUAAGAAAGAGUUUCAAAAUCUGACAUUUUGCCAAUCAUGAUUUUAGAUCUAAUUAGAAACAUGUUAUAGAAUUAAUAUUUAGAUUUAUUUUUCCAUUAUGAUUAGGUAAUUAAACAUGUUAAAUAUGAUUGCUUGAUUGAUUUGCCAUUUGUUAGUUUACUAUAUUUAGGAUUUCUAUUAGUUUAGAAUUUUGAUCGUUCAAUUGACUCUUGUUGCUUUUACUUUAAUAAUUUUAUCCUAUUUUCUUUUAUUCUAAUCGAUUUUAAUAUUUGUGCAUGUGAAAUUCCAUUCUAGGGAUGUAAAAAUGUACUGACGAACAAUGAAAACCAACCUGGAAAUCCUAGAUUUGAUCGGUUGUUCAUGCCCAGCCCAUAUUUGUUUUUUGCAUUUUUGGAUAUUUUUUGAUGUAUUCUGGCAUCUGUAUAGUUUUUAGGUCUUUUUCUUUCGCAAUCGUAGUUGUAGGCUGGGUUUUACUUUCUACUUUAUUUUGUUUAUUUUGUUUAUUAUAUGGUUAAUUAAAUGAUUGAUUAAUUAAAAUGGGCCAUAUAGAUUUAGGCCUAAACUUGGAUCCAACAUGAAUAUGGUAGUCUAAUAGGCUAAUUAACAUUAACUGGGCCUAAAAUCUUAAAAUCUAAUAGAUUUAGCGGACUUUGGCAUGCUUAGUUAGGGUUUGGACUUAAUUAGAAUUAGGAUCACACUGAAUGGGCCUCAUCAUAAUAAGUAAUCCAUCAGGUCUAAAGGCUGGAAAUCCAGAGCAUAACGUAGAAUUGGGCUAGACUAGGUGGGCUAUAUACAUAAUUAACUAGUAAAUUAGGCUAACUAUUCUAAUACGGGGUAGGCUUGAAUAAAAAUGGGUUAGACUUAGGUGUAUUAUGUGUGUUAUUUGAUAUGCCUGUGUAUAAAUUGCUUGCAUUUAUAUGGAAUAAUUUGUUAAAUAGUAAAAUUAAAGACUAAUAUACACAAAUAAGGAAGUUGGCUUCCAGAUCCAUCUUUGGACUUUAUAGCAUAAGCUUCCUUAUGGAAUCUAAGAGACGCCACUCAUUAGUAAAAGUGUCCCGGUGAUUACCCAGGUGGCGACUCCCAUAUCUGCGCUAGUCUUAGUGACUAGUUGACAUGUUUCCGAUUAGGUUGAAAAGCCUUAUAAUGCCAUAGUCGCUAAAGAUACUUAUGUGCACGCCCAAAACCGCCGCCCACAGCGGGAGUAAGAGGAUCUAUGGCUUUGGCAUGCUGUUCAUGUGAGUUCUGCUCUAUCUUUUAUCUCUGUCUCUUCCUUCUUUCAUUUUCAUGACUACUGAUUUUUGUUUUCCAAGCCUAGGCUUUGGAGAUCGGCCUUCUAGUGGGCUUACAGCCCAUCUGUAUGUCACGGACCUUCCCUCACUUGAUUCGUUGGGGCUCGAGCAGGAGUGUCAUACUCGUGAUUUAUGUAUAUGGUUACUUACCUUACAGUUUUACAGUUUCAAAGCUAUUGGCUGGGGG